rnacentral:lncRNA from 1 species
CUCUAUCUAUCUGCUUUUGGUUUCUGAAAAUCAUGAAAUUUGAACCAAUAACCUUAAAAAUUAUCAAUAUGCAAACCUUAAAAAUUGAGUUGCAGAGUGAAGGUCAUCUGUGGGUACCAAGGAAACAUUAGGAGAGGUACCUACAGGAGUGGCAUCCUUGAGAGUAAGUGUCAUCUUCCCUUUUAGGAUGUGAGCUAUUGCUAGCUCCGAUUUGGUGUUUUUUUUUAAGCUAGUUCCUUGAUUAUGUAAGUGAGGUUUCUGACUCUUGUCUUGUUGGUUUUGAAUGGUGAGGGUAGCACUCCUCGCUUUCAUAGGUUAAGGGGUUUUGAAGACACAUGGUCUCCUUAGUGUGAAGCGUGAACAUUCCCCAACAGAGCUUUUGGUGCCCUCUCACGUUAGGGUGGAGGACCACUUUGAGAGGCAGGCUCCACUACUUUCUUUGGAGGCAUAGCGCCUUGAGUUCGUCUCUUAAUGGAAGCACCAAAUGUUGCAGACCAGAAAAAGAAAGAAUCGCAACGAGGGAGCAUCCAUACUUAAGAGCAGGUACCACUAGCAGCUAGGUGAAAGUAGAUGAAAAUUGGAGUUACUGAUGGAGAAGGAAGAUAGUUUGAGGUUACCUAGGUGCAAGAUGCAGCCUAAGGGUUGAGAGCGGAUGACGAUGAGGCACUGGAGACGGAUUUGCAGACUCCUCAGACUCUUCUGACUGCUUGAGAGAAAGAAACUCCGGAAUGAAUUGAAGAAGAAACGACGGAGAUCUAAGGGCCUCCAUUUUGGAUCCUGCAGUCUCCUUGGUGGGAGGAUUGUCAAUUCUCGUAGUAUUUGAGGGAGGCAAACCUUGAAAGUAUGGGAGAGAUGAGUGAGGCAUGCUAUGCAGACUCUUCGAACUCCUAGAGGAUGAGGGACUUGAACUUCCUUGGCCUAAAGUUUCAAGGGGAGAGAAACUAUAGCUGGUGAAGAGAACUUGUAGGGCUUGAGCUCGAAGUGAGGUGUUAGAAAACGUGGAGAGGACUAAUCCAGGGGUCUUUUUUGUGAUUUGUAGACAUCUCAAACUAAGAGGUAUUUGAUCCCUAUAGUGAAAUAGGUUUAAGAAUAAUAUUAAUAAUACAUUUUAUAUUUACCUUUGGAAUAUAGGUCUAAAUUACCUAAGCUUGGAAUAUAGGUCUAAAUUUACUUAGGUCUACCCAUAUUUGUAAAUGGUUAGCCUAUUUUAAAUUUAUCCAUAUCAUUUUUAAAAUUUAUUAUAUUUUUUAAUUUUAAUUCUUAAUGGUUAUAUAUACUUUUUAUUUAUUAAAAUUUGUAUAUAGGAAUUUUAAUAAAUUUUCGAUAUUUAUAUUAUAGUAUUAUAUAUUACUAUAAAUCUAAUUUUUAUGUGUUAUAAAUUUUAUAAAAUAUAAAAAAUAAUAUAAUAUAAUAUAUUAUAAAUUUAGAAAACGGGUUGAGCUGGAUUAAGCUUGAGCCUUGAACGUUUGAGUACAAGCUCGACCCAUAUUUUAAGUAGUUUUUUGUCCAAACCUAUUUUUUAAACUUAACAUUUUCAUAUAAAUCUUUUUAAAUUUCGAGCGAACCUUCGAAAUUGAACAAGUAACUUAACUUAUGAACAAGUUUAGGUGUCAAGGUCUCAUGGCUUAUAAUCCUAAGGUUAAUUGGAUGAGAGGCCUUAAUGCAAUAAAGGGUUUUUCCCGUCGUUUGCUUGUGGUAAUGACUUGUGGGCUCUUUGGACUUGUGAGAAGGGAAUCGUAAUUACACCUUUUGGACACACUUUACUCAUGAUUGGGUGACUUAUAAUAUGUUUAAAAAUGGCAAGAGUGCUUACUAUUUAUAAGACCUUUGGUGACAACUUGAGAGUAUAUGUCAAGCUCCGAUUCGGAACUUAGAAGUUGAUAGAUGUGAUGCUUCUAUUGGAGACUUAGGAGGUGCACCAUUGCGUGUUCAAUGUGCCUUCUGAACCCUUGAAGCAAUGGAUCUACUAUUGGUAUGGGCAUCAUUUGCUUCAUGGGCUUCUUUUUAUAAGUCAUGGGUGAACUUAUGGGCAGCUACCUAUCUGGCGGUCAGUAAUUGGCGGAUUAUCAGGCAGAUUGUUCAAAUGGAAACAAGAUUUUCAGAUACUCAAGAUGCGAGCUGUCUUGUGAACUGACAUGCUCCAAACUAGAGGGGCAAACUGACUUUGCAAGAUGAGAUGCUCCAAAUGUUUUUAAUACACGUUGGUAAUAUUUUUCAUAUAUAAGGCUGCAUUUUGUAUGUAAAUGCUGUAUUAAAAUAGGAAAAUAUAGCAAGUCACAUUCGAUUGCUAAAUUUUGAUUUGUCUGUUCUUUCUUAC